rnacentral:tRNA from 1 species
GGUUCCUUAACUUAAUUGGUAAAGUAUAUUCUUGAUAAGGAUAGGUUCGGCGUUCAAUUCGCUGAGGAAUCA